AUGCCAUCCUUAGACUUGGCAGAAAAUUUCAGAAAAUUGCUAGAGGCGGCUAAGGAAGCAGAUGUGACAUUCGAGGUUGAAGGUGAGAUUUUUCCUGCACAUAAGAUUGUGCUCGCAACGCGGUCUCCAGUCUUCAAGGCAGAGCUGUAUGGACCGAUGAGAGGCUAGUGUGGACAGAACAUAACAGCCGAAGACAUGCAGCCUGCUGUUUUUAAGGCAUUACUUCACGUUAUCUACACAGAUCUAUUGCCUUCCAUGGGCAAACUUGAUGACAAAGAGAAAAAGGAAAUUGUUAGGCACUUACUAGCGGCUGCAGAUCGGUAUGCAAUAGAAAGGAUGAAGAUGAUGUGUGAAGACAUUCUUUGCAAAACUAUUGAUGUUCAGACUGUGGCAACCACGUCUGCUCUAGCUGAUCAACAUCACUGUAGCAGGCUAAAAGAUGCUUGUGCUGAAUUUAUCAUGUCUUCAAAUAGAUUGGAUGAUGUGUUGGCAAGGCAAGGGUAUGUGCACCUCAAGAAAUCAUGCCCUGCUGCCUCAGUAAAUAUCUUGGAGAGAGUUAUGAAGCUUCUCAAAUUUUAG
rnacentral:rRNA from 1 species